UUUGGACCUGAUAUCAAACAAGACUACCCGCUGAACUUAAGCAUAUCAAUAAGCGGAGGA
rnacentral:rRNA from 1 species